rnacentral:rRNA from 1 species
CCUACGGGGCGCAGCAGUGGGGAAUAUUGCGCAAUGGGCGAAACCCUGAUGCAGCGACGCCGCGUGUGGGAAGACGGUCCUCUGGAUUGUAAACCACUGUCCCCAGGGACGAAGAUGACGGUACCUGGGGAGGAAGCUCCGGCUAACUACGUGCCAGCAGCCGCGGUAAUACGUAGGGAGCAAGCGUUGUCCGGAAUUACUGGGUGUAAAGGGAGCGUAGACGGCGACGCAAGUCUGGAGUGAAAGCCCGGGGCCCAACCCCGGGACUGCUCUGGAAACUGCGUCGCUGGAGUACGGGAGGGGCA